rnacentral:rRNA from 1 species
GACGAACGCGGGCGGCGUGCCUAAUACAUGCAAGUAGAACGCUGAAGGAGGAGCUUGCUCUUCUGGAUGAGUUGCGAACGGGUGAGUAACGCGUAGGUAACCUGCCUGGUAGCGGGGGAUAACUAUUGGAAACGAUAGCUAAUACCGCAUAAGAGUAGAUGUUGCAUGACAUUUGCUUAAAAGGUGCAAUUGCAUCACUACCAGAUGGACCUGCGUUGUAUUAGCUAGUUGGUGAGGUAACGGCUCACCAAGGCAACGAUACAUAGCCGACCUGAGAGGGUGAUCGGCCACACUGGGACUGAGACACGGCCCAGACUCCUACGGGAGGCAGCAGUAGGGAAUCUUCGGCAAUGGACGGAAGUCUGACCGAGCAACGCCGCGUGAGUGAAGAAGGUUUUCGGAUCGUAAAGCUCUGUUGUAAGAGAAGAACGAGUGUGAGAGUGGAAAGUCACACUGUGACGUAUCUACCAGAAAGGACGCA